ensembl:lncRNA
CACUCUGGAUUUUUUGCUGUGCAUGUUUUAUACAGUCUAUGCCCUGGAUGCAGAAUCCAUUCAUCAAGGGGCAGGCUCAUUCAGAACAAACCACUCCAAGCCGAGCCCUUCAAAAACCUUGAAUUGGUGCAUGUGCCACAUUUGAAAAUGGCGCUAAAAAUAUGAUACACAAAUAUGAACAAAUCAGGCUCCAUUAUUUGGAGAAAACAGAUUUUCUUCAUAGCAUGGUAAAUGCAAUGUGAGUAAACUGUACCAAAAGGGAACCGUGUAGAUGCACCAGAUUUCAUCACAUUCAAAACAGCCCAUCCUAUAAAGAAAUGUCACUGGUUCAGAAUCAUAACUUAAGAUAUGUUCUGAUUGGCUAUAAUUGUGUUGCUCUUUGCAGAUGGUUAAAAAACAGAAAUUGUGCUCACAAUGAUCAGGUGAGAAAAAAAUCAGUAGUCUGAAUGUAGUUUACUUUAUCUGUUGAGUUGUUUAUAGACAUUACAUAUUUUCUCUCUAUUCUUUGUGUUUGUUUGUUUGUUUGUUUGUUUGUUUUAAUGGCAAAGAUGAAUCAUGAUGACCAAGUUUGUUAUGUUGAAAUGACUGAUCCUGUGUAUGAGAAUGUAACUGAUACUCAACAUGGCUCUAAUACCUGUAAACCUGAACCGAACUCUUCUGUGUAUGAAAAUACUCCAAUGAAGAAGAUGAAGUAGUGUUUUGGAAACACAGAACAGUUUUACAGCUUUUAUAAAUCACUUUGUGGGUGUAGGCCUGAAUGAUUGACAGGAGUGUCAUGAUAUGGCUGAAGUAAUUUGCAGAUCAUAUGGGUUAAAAUAGCAGUUAAAGGUUAAUGAAUUGUAAAAGUGUGUAAUCACUUAAACCUCUGGUAUUGUUCAUUUGGGAAUCACACUUAUGUUGUCCGUGGUCAAAACAGACACCUGAAAUGUAACUUUUUUUUUUUCUCAGUAGAAUCAAUGUAAUAUAUUUUUGUUCAAUAAUAUAUAUAUAUUUUUUUGUUGUUGUUGAGAGAGAGAGAGAAUUUCAUUGUACUAAUAAAUAUUUAUGAAAUAAUUAUAUAUUUUUUCUU